UACGUAGGGGGCGAGCGUUGUCCGGAGUUACUGGGCGUAAAGGGCAUGCAGGCGGUCGUACGCGUUUCGGGUGACAGCGGGUGGCUUAACUACCCGAGUGUUCGAAAGACGGUACGACUUGAGGGCUCGAGAGGGAGACGGAAUUCCGGGUGGAGCGGUGAAAUGCGUAGAGAUCCGGAGGAACACCGAAAGCGAAGGCAGUCUCCUGGCAAGUUUCUGACGCUCAGGUGCGAAAGCUAGGGGAGCGAACAGG
rnacentral:rRNA from 1 species